GGCAACUGGUCACCUUUUCCUCUCCACAGGUUUUGAUCCCUGAUUGUCUUCAUAUCUAGGAUGAGAAUCUUCUGACACACCCGUUGUCAUCGUGAUCCCCCACCACCGAGGGCCAUCCCCCAACCAGCGAACACACCGCACUCAUGUCCACCACAUCCUGUUCCAGUAACCAUGUGGCUUCUUACCAAUUGCUCCCUAAUGUUGCGUCCCCGACGAUAGGUGACACUGGGAUACGGGACAAGAGUCUGUAUGUGGAGAAAACUAUGACCUAUGGAGUAGAACAUGUACGGGCCUUCCACAGGAUCUCCGCAGAAGCGAAAACCAUAGUUGAGAAGUAAGGUCCAGGACUAUCUUCAAUAAAUCUAAUUUCUUUAUUGAAAAUUAAAAAAUGUAAAAUCACAAUGAUGUGUACUGUGUAAAUAAAAAGUGAUCAUCCCUCCCUGCUUCCAGCUUGUGGUCCAAAAAAGGCGAA